GUCAGAGCUAGCUGUCAGCGGCCUUGGGAUCCAUUCUGUCGUAAUAUUGCUUCUCACAUAGCGCCGGCAUGACUCACGCCGCCGGUCUGGGUCUGUUCGGUAGCUGCUGUAAUUUCACCUGUAACGCUUGUCCACCUUUGUGCUCAGCACUCACCAGGGCUUCUCAGCUUGGCUCCCACACCCUCACAGGAACCCAUCAGUAGCUUGACAGGGGACAAUAAGAGUCUCCUGACUCAUAGCUUUCGUUUCCUUGUCUGUCAUGUUCCUGCGAUGGCUGAGAGGGAUGGAAUCCAGCCCACAGCAUUGUCCUCCUUGACAAGUUAAAUCUGCCCUUCUGUGCUGUCAAAUUGAUUUUACUCCUGUCCUUAGAACUAAUGAGAAAAUAUCAGCUAAGAGCAGUAAUGUGCUGCAGCUGCAGGAAACUGAUAUAUCACCCCAAGUCACCUUCAGGCUGGCAGAGGGCAGCUCCUGAGUUUCUCAUCCAUGUUCUGCACCCACCAUCAAUUCCCAUUCAUUCAUUCAUGUGCAUGGCUGUGGUAGACAUGUCACAAGAAAUACAAGCCCAAGUCACAUUCUCAAGUUCACUUCAACAUGAGGAAACAAGAAAUUCACAUCAAGAGAUGGAUUAAAUAAGAUGAGAUGGGUCCUCAACAGUUCCUGAAAUGAUCUUACACAUUUGUUUAUUUGUUGAGAGUUGGCCUUCUUGACCUUGGCAUUGACAUUUUGGGGCCAAUCGUUCUUUGCUAUGGGACUGUCCUGUGAGGUCUGGUGUUUAGCAGAGGCCCUGGACUCUACCCACCAGAUGCCAGUCACAUCCUUCCAGGCACAACAAUAAAGUCUGUUGCCAGAUGUUCCCUGACAGGGGAGAAUCACCCCUAGUUGAGAAGUGCUGUCUCAUCAUCCUUCUUGCUUUCUGUCAUUUCUCCAGCCCCAAGAACAGUGUGCUUAGCUUAGACAGUGUAUUAAAAAGCAGAGAUGUCACUUUGCCAACAAAGGUCCAUAUAGUCAAAGCUAUGGUUUUUCCAGUAGCCAUGUAUGGACCUCCCUGGUAGCUCAGACAGUAAAGCAUCUGCCUACAAUGUGGGAGACCCUGGUUCAAUCCCUGGGUCAGGAAGAUCUCCUGGAGAUGAAAUAGCAACCCACUCUAGUACUCUUGCCUGGAAAAUCCCAAGGAUGGAGAAGCCUGGUAGGCUACAGCCCAUGGGGUUGCAAAGAGUUGGACACGACUGAGUGAUUUCACUUCACUAUGUAUGAAUGUGAGAGUUGGACCAUAAAGAAGCCUGAGUGCUGAAGAAUUGGUGGUUUUGAACUGUGGUGCUGGAGAAGACUCUUGAGAGUUCCUUGGGCUGCAAAGACAUCAAACUAGUAAAUACUAAAGGAAAUCAACCCUGAAUAUUCAUUGGAAGGAUGGAUGCUGAAGCUGCAGCUCCGAUAUUUUGGCCACUUGAUGUGAAGAGCCAGUUCUUUGGAAAAGACCCUGAUGCUGGGAAAGAUUGAAGGCAGGAGGAGAAGGGGAUGACAGAGGAUGAGAUUGUUGGAUGGCAUCACCAGCUCAAUGGACAUGAGUUUGAGCAAACUUUGGGAGAUACUGAAGGACAGGGAAGCCUGGCGUGCUACAGUCAUGGGGUUGGCAGUGUUGGACAUGACUUAGCAACUGAACAAUCACAACAUUUAGUGAGCACUUUGUAAAUGUGGGUUGACAAGCUGGCUGGAGAGGGGCUACAGAGUGAGGUUUGCUAUUUUGUGGGAACUCAGAGCAAAGGUGUCCCAUCUCUGAGCUCAGUUGGGUGCUCUUUGAUGACUUAGAGAGGUG
rnacentral:lncRNA from 1 species